GACGAACGCUGGCGGCGUGCUUAACACAUGCAAGUCGAACGGGAUGAUUUAGAAGCUUGCUUUUAGAGAAUCUAGUGGCAAACGGGUGAGUAACACGUAGACAACCUGCCGACAGGAUGGGGACAACAUUCCGAAAGGAAUGCUAAUACCGAAUGAAGUCGAGGGAAGGCAUCUUCCUUCGAUGAAAGAUGGCCUCUGAAUAUGCUAUCACCUGUCGAUGGGUCUGCGUCUGAUUAGCUAGUUGGUGAGGUAACGGCUCACCAAGGCGACGAUCAGUAGCCGGUCUGAGAGGAUGAACGGCCACAUUGGGACUGAGACACGGCCCAGACUCCUACGGGAGGCAGCAGUGGGGAAUCUUCCGCAAUGGGCGCAAGCCUGACGGAGCAACGCCGCGUGAGUGAAGAAGGUCUUCGGAUCGUAAAGCUCUGUUGAUGGGGACGAAC
rnacentral:rRNA from 1 species